rnacentral:rRNA from 1 species
UACGUAGGGUGCAAGCGUUGUCCGGAAUUAUUGGGCGUAAAGGGCUCGUAGGCGGUCCAUCGCGUCGGGAGUGAAAAGCUGGGGCUUAACCCCAGUCCUGCUUCCGAUACGGGUGGACUAGAGGUAGGUAGGGGAGAACGGAAUUCCUGGUAUAGCGGUGAAAUGCGCAGAUAUCAGGAGGAACACCGGUGGCGAAGGCGGUUCUCUGGGCCUUACCUGACGCUGAGGAGCGAAAGCAUGGGGAGCAAACAGG